rnacentral:rRNA from 1 species
GAUGAACGCUGGCGGCGUGCCUAACACAUGCAAGUCGAGCGAACGGACGGGAUUCGUCCUGCCCGGAUGUUAGGGGCGGAUGGGUGAGUAACACGUACAUAACCUGCCGAUAAGACUGGGACAACGUCGGGAAACCUGAGCCAACACCCGACAAGAGUUUGAACCGGAGGGUUCAAAAGACCAAGACGUUUUGGCUGGGACGUAGAGAGGGAACCGUGCUGCAUUAGCUAGUUGGUAAGGUAACGGCUUACCAAGGCAACGAUGAGUAGCCGACCUGAGAGGGUGACCGGCCACACUGGAACUGAGACACGGCCCAGACUCCUACGGGAGGCAGCAGUGGGGAAUGUUCGACAAUGGGCGAAAGCCUGACGCAGCAAUGCCGCGUGUGUGAUGAAGGUCUUCGGGUCGUAAAGCUCUGUUAUCGGGAAAGAACAUGUGUGUGACAAUCCCUCGACUUCUUGACGGUACCCACAGAAUAAGCCCCGGCUAACUACGUG